GUGUGUGUGUGUGUGUGCGUGUGUGCGUGUGUGUGUGUGUGUGUGUGUGUGUGUGUGUGUGUGUGCGUGUGUGCGUGUGUGUGUGUGUCUCAGGACUGCGUGUACGAGCUGAGGCUUCUGUCUCGUGUUGGGGAAAUGCUGAGCGAGCGCGGUCCAUCAGUCAAUGUCUCCACUGUGGGGAUGGAGGUCUACCCGUCCACGUCCCAGCUCCAGGACUCGGUCCCAGAACCAUUACUGGCGGGAGUUCUAAGUGGCGUGGGCUUCAUGCUGCUGGCGCUGGUCCUGCUGGUGGGCGUGGCCUGUUUCAUCAGUCACGGGAGGAAGCGGCGGCGGCGGCGGCGUGGGGAGAGAAAGGAAGAAGGUAGAGACUCCCACUGUGAUCUAUAUCAUCAUUUAGUGGAUCCAGUCUGGACAGAUGCUGCAGCUGUAAAACAUCUGGAUGUCACUCACUCAUUACUCACUAAUUACUGUAGUUUCUCAUUAGUGCUUGAUUAAUUAUUGUAACUUUAGUUAUUUACCUUUUGUUCCUAAUGAGUCAAACCUUCUUCUUACUCCUCUUCCUCCCUCCAGAGCCUCAUACCUUCAUCUGUAAAUGCUCCCCAUCCAUGGAGACUGCAGGCACCAUCAGUCCAGACAGUAUGUUGAAGAAAAGCCUGCUCCCAGGCCCCUCCCUCUCCCCCUCCUCCUACGCCUGCUCCUCCGCCUGCUCCUCGUCCUCCUUCAGCUCAGAGAAUCCUUAUCGGCAGAGGCAGCUCCCGCUACGCGGCAGAGGCUCUCACGCUGAGGAGACGUCUGCUCUCGUCUCACCACACAAACACUCCAUUUCUAGAGGUGCUGACGGACGGUUUGCUCUCCCACUAUCUGAUGAUUGCACUCACAGUUUGAGGAGUGUGAGGAGCUCAGAGCAGAGCGGCGA
rnacentral:lncRNA from 1 species